rnacentral:rRNA from 1 species
AAGGUAGCGAAAUUCCUUGUCGGGUAAGUUCCGACCUGCACGAAUGGCGUAACGAUUUGGGCGCUGUCUCAACCGUGGACCCGGUGAAAUUGUACUGUUCGUGAAGAUGCGAACUACCCGCGGAAGGACGGAAAGACCCCGUGAACCUUUACUGCAGCUUGGCAUUGGCAUCUGGUACGGCGCGUAGAGGAUAGGCGGGAGCCUUUGAAGCGGGGGCGCAAGCCCCCGUGGAGGCGACCUUGGAAUACCGCCCUCGUCGUGCCGGCUGCCUAACGCGCGGCCGUGAUCCGGCGCGCGGACCGUGCCAGGCGGGUAGUUUGACUGGGGCGGUCGCCUCCCAAAACGUAACGGAGGCGCGCGAAAGGUCCGCUCAGGACGGUCGGCAACCGUCCCGAGAGCGCAAGAGUGCAAGCGGGCUUGACUGCGAGAGAGACACCUCGAGCAGGGACGAAAGUCGGUUCUAGUGAUCCGGCGGCACAGAGUGGAAUGGCCGUCGCUCAACGGAUAAAAGGUACUCCGGGGAUAACAGGCUGAUCUUGCCCAAGAGUCCACAUCGACGGCAAGGUUUGGCACCUCGAUGUCGGCUCAUCGCAUCCUGGGGCUGGAGCAGGUCCCAAGGGUACGGCUGUUCGCCGUUUAAAGCGGUACGCGAGCUGGGUUCAGAACGUCGUGAGACAGUUCGGUCCCUAUCCUCCGCGGGCGCAAGGGAGUUGAGGAGAUCUGCCCCUAGUACGAGAGGACCGGGGUGGACGGACCUCUGGUGACGCGGUUGUCGACCAACGGCACCGCCGCCUAGCUACGUCCGGCACGGAUAACCGCUGAAGGCAUCUAAGUGGGAAGCCGCCUCCGAGAUGAGCUCCCUUUCCGGUAAGGGCCCAGAUAGACUAUCUGGUCGAUAGGGCGCAGCUGCAAGCAGGGCGACCUGCUCAGGCGAGCGCUACUAAUAGCCCGAGCUCUUCUUCAU